rnacentral:rRNA from 1 species
UACGUAGGUGACAAGCGUUGUCCGGAUUUACUGGGCGUAAAGAGCGCGCAGGCGGUCGUUCAAGUCGAGUGUGAAAGCCCCCGGCUCAACUGGGGAGGGUCAUUCGAUACUGAUCGACUCGAAGGCAGGAGAGGGUAGUGGAAUUCCCGGUGUAGUGGUGAAAUGCGUAGAGAUCGGCAGGAACACCCAGGGGAAACCAGCCGACUGGCAAGUGCUGACGCUGAGGUGCGAGAGCGUGGGGAGCGAACCGG